CUGGAGAGUUUAGACUUACUGCUAGAUUGGCUGUGAAAUGUGUGGUCCUGCCACAGCCUCAGGAACACCCACCCUCUGGCCUGCAUUUGGGGUUUCCCAAAAAUCUGUUAAUGUAAUAUUGUAAUUUUUCUCUUCUUUGUACAGGAGUUGGCCUCUCUGGGUUUGGACAGAUUGAAAUCUGCUCUCUUAGCUUUAGGCUUGAAAUGUGGCGGGUAAGGAAUAGUUUUUCUAUCAAAACUAUCGAUUUACUAUGUGUUUGCACAGUCUUCUAAGUAGCUCUGAUUCCAUUUUUUUUGUUGCUCCACACUGCAAAAAUAAGCCAGCCUGUGUGGUAAAGUAACCCUAAAAUCCUUUGCCGUCCUGUCUCCUUAGGACCCUAGAAGAGCGAGCCCAGAGACUAUUCAGUACCAAAGGAAAGUCCCUGGAGUCACUUGAUACCUCUUUGUUUGCCAAAAAUCCCAAGUCAAAGGGCACCAAGCGAGACACUGAAAGGAACAAAGACAUUGCUUUUCUAGAAGCCCAGAUCUAUGAAUAUGUAGAGAUUCUCGGGGAACAGCGACAUCUCACUCAUGAAAAUGUACAGCGCAAGCAAGCCAGGACAGGAGAAGAGCGAGAAGAAGAGGAAGAAGAGCAGAUCAGUGAGAGUGAGAGUGAAGAUGAAGAGAACGAGAUCAUUUACAACCCCAAAAACCUGCCACUUGGCUGGGAUGGCAAACCUAUUCCCUACUGGCUGUAUAAGCUUCAUGGCCUAAAUAUCAACUACAACUGUGAGAUUUGUGGAAACUACACCUAC
rnacentral:sRNA from 1 species